AUUGAACGCUGGCGGCAGGCUUAACACAUGCAAGUCGAGCGGGGAAGAGUAGCUUGCUACUUGACCUAGCGGCGGACGGGUGAGUAAUGCUUAGGAAUCUGCCUAUUAGUGGGGGACAACAUCUCGAAAGGGAUGCUAAUACCGCAUACGUCCUACGGGAGAAAGCAGGGGACCUUCGGGCCUUGCGCUAAUAGAUGAGCCUAAGUCGGAUUAGCUAGUUGGUGGGGUAAAGGCCUACCAAGGCGACGAUCUGUAGCGGGUCUGGGAGGAUGAUCCGCCACACUGGGACUGAGACACGGCCCAGACUCCUACGGGAGGCAGCAGUGGGGAAUAUUGGACAAUGGGGGGAACCCUGAUCCAGCCAUGCCGCGUGUGUGAAGAAGGCCUUUUGGUUGUAAAGCACUUUAAGCGAGGAGGAGGCUACCGAGAUUAAUACUCUUGGAUAGUGGACGUUACUCGCAGAAUAAGCACCGGCUAACUCUGUG
rnacentral:rRNA from 1 species